rnacentral:lncRNA from 1 species
UUGAGACUGUUGGCUCAAGAUAAAAAUGAAGGCUGAGAGAUUUUUUUUUUGAUGCAGGAGGAGAGAGGCAGAGAGAGAGGAAGAAAAGUGAAGACUUUGGCAGAAAAUAUUUGGCAUCAAAAAAUCGCCUUAAAAAGUUCUGUUGAAAUUCAGAACACAGCAGCUAAUGAGUGAAUUGCAGUGGAAUGGCUGCUGGAAAUUGUCCAGAGGAAGCGCAACCAAGAGAGCAAAUUUAAGCAUUCUUUGCAAAAGGUGGUGUCCUGGAGUGCUGAACUGGGGAAACAGAAAGACAGAUGGAGGAAAUCAAAUGAAUCAGGUACUGCUGCUUGCAAAAGGAAUUGAAUGAGAUGGACAAAUAGUUGAUAUGACCU